AAAAAUGUUGUCGUCGAAAGUUGUUGCUAAAAAUUUGGGGGAAUUUCGAUUUUAAAGAACAGCUUUUGAAAGUUGUACGUUUUCUUUUACAAAAAUUGACCGUUUUGUACGACACGUUCUCGCAGCUAUAACCUCAAAUGGAUUCCUGAGAAUUGACAUGUAUAGCGUAAAACAGUCCGAUUUAUAUUUCUCAACACCACAAAAGAUUCAUCGAGCGUGUACGAAUUUCGGUACAUUUUAUAGGUAUCGUAAAAAUGACUCACUCACCCUGUAUGCAUUUAAUAUAUAUAGGUGACUAUACGCCGCUCUUUCAUCGUCGUACAUGCCCAAAUCGCGUCUACGUCCACAAGCUUUGUGUGCAAUCUCUCGUGUCCCGAGAUUCCUUCAUGUGCAUACAAUUGCUGUAUGUGCUUUGCUCGAUCCUCCAAGUCAUAGGGUCAUUAUUCUCCAUGACGAAUAUGCAAAAGGUACGUCCUUAUGAUUCUUAGUAAUUGAUAUCCACUGUGAACGCUAUUUCACUUUCGACGAGCAGAGCGUAUUGUGUAUUAGUAAACGAAAGUCGGCUGUGUGCGAUGUCCGUGCGCGUGCUCGUGUGUGUGUGUGUGUGUGUACAUCGUAACGAAACGUCUGAAAUUGUACACUCGGCGUGCAGUGUCUAGAUUUAUACGUGAGCCCUGUUUCCAUUGCUGGAACGCUUUUUAGUCCUCGUGCGUUAAAACAUAUUGAGUUUUCCAUUGUUCCCAGUGUAUUGCAAUUUUCCGAAAAGAAACGAGCAAAAAGACAAUCGACAGCUGGUAAAGCAGGGCACCGUAAUUAUCGAAUGUAGAGAUCGUAGAAGUCUUCCGUCCGAGGUUGAAAAUAAGUUGGUGGAAAUAUCCGAAGUUUUUUUUCCAUUUUUUAAAAUAAUUUAUUACGAUUUAUCAGCAAGUUGACGAUUGAUUCUGAAAAAUUAAAUGAAUUUAAUAAAACAUUCGAUCUUUUGUUACUAAUUUACCAAAAUGAGAUGGGCAACGUGAAUUCGGAAUUUAAAAAUCUUGUAAAUUCUUCAUGUAAUUUACAGAUCAUUCACAAAACUGAGUUUUCGUUAUUCCGGGUGGAAAAACUUGGCGAUCGAUAUAACCAUUCAAAUGAAAUGAAUAAAAAGGGUGAAUCACCAUUUUUAAAUCUCUGCAA